rnacentral:rRNA from 1 species
AUUGAACGCUGGCGGCAGGCCUAAUACAUGCAAGUCGAACGAGCGGCGGACGGGUGAGUAAUGUCUGGGAAACUGCCUGAUGGAGGGGGAUAACUACUGGAAACGGUAGCUAAUACCGCAUACCAUCUGAUGACACCAGAUGGGAUUAGCUGGUAGGUGGGGUAACGGCUCACCUAGGCGACGAUCCCUAGCUGGUCUGAGAGGAUGAUCAGCCACACUGGAACUGAGACACGGUCCAGACUCCUACGGGAGGCAGCAGUGGGGAAUAUUGCACAAUGGGCGCAAGCCUGAUGCAGCCAUGCCGCGUGUAUGAAGAAGGCCUUCGGAUUGUAAAGUACUUUCAGCGGGGAGGCGUUACCCGCAGAAUAAGCACCGGCUAACUCCGUGCCAGCAGCCGCGGUAAUUC